rnacentral:misc_RNA from 1 species
GAUGAAGAACGCAGCGAAAUGCGAUAAUUAAUGUGAAUUGCAGAAUUUAGUGAAUCAUCGAAUCUUUGAACGCACAUUGCGCCCCUUGGUAUUCCAUGGGGCAUGCCUGUUCGAGCGUCAUUUGUACCUUCAAGCUCUGCUUGGUGUUGGGUGUUUGUCUCGCCUCUGCGUGUAGACUCGCCUUAAAACAAUUGGCAGCCGGCGUAUUGAUUUCGGAGCGCAGUACAUCUCGCGCUUUGCACUCAUAACGACGACGUCCAAAAGUACAUUUUUACACUCUUGACCUCGGAUCAGGUAGGGAUACCCGCUGAACUUAAGCAUAUCAAUAAGCGGAGGA